CCCAAGAGUUCAGGGUGAGAGUGCAUCUCACAUUGUUGGAUGGGAGUCCAAAGUCCAUUUGUAUACCCAGGAUAAAUACUGAUCUACUGCCCAAGGCUCAAGGUAGUGUGGCUGAGCGGUCUAAGGCGCUGGAUUAAGAAGCUACUCUUGCCUAGACUGUUUGACUGUUCCUGUAUAAUCUGAAUGUGCAGAACCCACCGAAAAGUGACUUCUAAAUUUGGACAGUCCUUCAGGGUUCCUGCUUCAUGGAAGAGUCUGCCAGACUUUCUACAGGACACACACACAAUGACUGACAGACUGCUAAUACAGAUAGACAGUUUAAAAUUUCCUGCUUUGCUGAGAAGUCUUCCAGACACAUUGUGCCCUAUGGGCUGAAGAUGGAUGCCCCAAUGUUACGGAGGAACUUUGGGUAACUGUUCAGAUGGUCUCUGUUAACAUCCAAAUAAGGCAAACAGAAGAGAAAGGUCUGCUUUUAGGAGAAUACCCAUGCCACGUGAAGACUACAUUAGUGGAAAUUGACUUCUGUGUUUAAUGAAUCUUUAAAAAGUUCCCCACCACGUAUUCUUCUGAAAGAAAGCAAACAGCUUGGUAAUGAACACAGUAGGAGGAAAUUAAAGUUGUGCUCAAA